rnacentral:other from 1 species
GCGGGGCUGCCCGGUGCGUCCGGCUUUUCAUCCCCGGGGCCAAUAAGCAUCCUCCGGGAGCUGGCUCUGUCCGGGCCGUGGUCCGGAUACCUGGCGCCCACCUGCUCUAGCAGGCCUUGGGAGGAUGACACGCCAACGGCCAUGGUGGCUCCGCA